rnacentral:rRNA from 2 species
UCGAGAAUCUUCCGCAAUGGGCGCAAGCCUGACGGAGCGAUGCCGCGUGAGGGAUGAAGGCCUUCGGGUUGUAAACCUCUGUCAUCCGGGACGAAAACAAUGACGGUACCGGAAAAGGAAGCCACGGCUAACCACGUGCCAGCAGCCGCGGUAACACGUGGGUGGCGAGCGUUAUUCGGAUUUACUGGGCGUAAAGGGUCCGCAGGGGGCCUGCCACGCCUGCCGUGAAAUUCCAAGGCUCAACCUUGGACCUGCGGCGGGUACGGGCGGGCUAGAGUGCAAGAAGGGCAGACGGAAUUCCAGGUGUAGCGGUGGAAUGCGUAGAUAUCUGGAAGAACACCGAUGGCGAAGGCGGUCUGCUGGCUUGUAACUGACCCUCAGGGACGAGAGCGUGGGUAGCAAACAGG